rnacentral:rRNA from 1 species
AUUGAACGCUGGCGGCAGGCUUAACACAUGCAAGUCGAGCGAGUGGCGGACGGGUGAGUAAUGUCUGGGAAACUGCCUGAUGGAGGGGGAUAACUACUGGAAACGGUAGCUAAUACCGCAUACCAUCAGAUGUGCCCAGAUGGGAUUAGCUAGUUGGUGGGGUAAUGGCUCACCUAGGCGACGAUCCCUAGCUGGUCUGAGAGGAUGACCAGCCACACGGGGACUGAGACACGGUCCAGACUCCUACGGGAGGCAGCAGUGGGGAAUAUUGCACAAUGGGGGAAAGCCUGAUGCAGCCAUGCCGCGUGUGUGAAGAAGGCCUUCGGGUUGUAAAGCACUUUCGGCAGGGAAGCGGUAUCGACAGAAGAAGCACCGGCUAACUCAGUGCCAGCAGCCGCGGUAAUAC